rnacentral:rRNA from 1 species
UACGUAGGUGGCGAGCGUUGUCCGGAUUUAUUGGGCGUAAAGCGCGCGCAGGCGGUCGCGUAAGUCUGCUGUGAAAUCUCCCUGGCUCAACCGGGAGGGGGCGGCGGAGACUGCGGGACUGGAGGGACCUAGAGGCCGGUGGAAUUCCCGGUGUAGCAGUGAAAUGCGUAGAGACCCGGAGGAACACCAGUGGCGAAGGCGGCGUCCUGGCCUGCGACUGACGCUGUGGCGCGAAAGCUAGGGGAGCGAACGGG